UACGUAGGGUGCGAGCGUUAAUCGGAAUUACUGGGCGUAAAGGGCGCGUAGGCGGCCUGCUAAGUCGAACGUGAAAUCCCUGGGCUCAACCCAGGAACUGCGUCCGAUACUGGUUGGCUUGAAUCCGGGAGAGGGAAGCGGAAUUCCGGGUGUAGCGGUGAAAUGCGUAGAUAUCCGGAGGAACACCGGUGGCGAAGGCGGCUUCCUGGACCGACACUGACGCUGAGGCGCGAAAGCUAGGGGAGCAAACGGG
rnacentral:rRNA from 1 species